rfam:Sarcophilus harrisii ctg7180002418729, whole genome shotgun sequence.
CCAAAGGCUCUUUUAAGAGCCACUCAAAUUUUGCUGGAAAAGAACU